GGUGGCGAGUGGCGGACGGGUGAGGAAUACAUCGGAAUCUACCUUUUCGUGGGGGAUAACGUAGGGAAACUUACGCUAAUACCGCAUACGACCUUCGGGUGAAAGCWGGGACCUUCGGGCCUUGCGCGGAUAGAUGAGCCGAUGUCGGAUUAGCUAGUUGGCGGGGUAAAGGCCCACCRRGGCGACGAUCCGUWRCUGGUCUGASAGRUGAUCASCCUAACUGGAACUGAGACAGGUCCAGACUHAUACGGGAGGCAGCAGUKGGGAAUAUUGGACAAUGGGCGCAAGCCUGAUCCAGCCAUACCGCGKGGGUGAAGAAGGCCUUCGGGUUGUAAAGCCCUUUUGUUGGGAAAGAAAAGCAGUCGAUUAAUACUCGGUUGUUCUGACGGAGCCAAAGAAUAGCACCGGCUAACUUCGUGCCAGCAGCCGCGGUAAUACGAAGGCGCAAGCGUUACUCGGAAUUACUGGGCGUAAAGCGUGCGYAGGUGGUUGUUUAAGUCUGUUGUKAAGCCCUGGGCACAACCYGGGAAUUGCAGUGGAUACUGGGCGACUAGAGUGUGGYAGAGGGUAGUGGAAUUCCCGGUGUAGCAGUGAAAUGCGUAGAGAUCGGGAGGAACAUCCAUGGCGAAGCAGCUACCUGGACAACACUGACACUGAGGCACGAAAGCGUGGGGAGCAAACGGGAUUAGAUACCCUGGUAGUCCACGCCCUAAAGAUGCGAACUGGAUGUUGGGUGCAAUUUGGCACGCAGUAUCGAAGCUAACGCGUUAAGUUCGCCGCCUGGGGAGUACGGUCCCCAGACU
rnacentral:rRNA from 1 species